UACGUAGGGUGCGAGCGUUGUCCGGAAUUACUGGGCGUAAAGAGCUCGUAGGUGGUUUGUCGCGUCGUCUGUGAAAUUCCGGGGCUUAACCUCGGGCGUGCAGGCGAUACGGGCAAUACUUGAGUGCUGUAGGGGAGACUGGAAUUCCUGGUGUACCGGUGAAAUGCGCAGAUAUCAGGAGGAACACCGAUGGCGAAGGCAGGUCUCUGGGCAGUAACUGACGCUGAGGAGCGAAAGCAUGGGUAGCGAACAGGAUUAGAUA
rnacentral:rRNA from 1 species